UUCACUUCUUGGCCUUUUGGCUAAGAUCAAGUGUAGUGUAAAAAAAGUUAAUACAAAUAAUAUUUUUACCAUGCUAAUGCAAAUAUUAAAAAUACACGGAACCUUAUGAUGAGGUUCCAUAGUGGUGGCAUAU